rnacentral:rRNA from 1 species
AGACGUAGGGGGCAAGCGUUGCUCGGAAUCACUGGGCUUAAAGGGCGAGUAGGCGGUGGUAUAAGUUCAGGGUAGAAGGCCUUGGCUCAACCAGGGAGAUGCCCUGAAGACUGUAUCACUUGAGUAAGCGAGGGGAGGGCGGAAUUCCCGGUGUAGCGGUGAAAUGCGUAGAUAUCGGGAGGAAGGCCUGUGGCGAAGGCGGCCCUCUGGUGCUUGACUGACGCUGAAUCGCGAAAGCGUGGGGAGCAAACAGGAUUAGAUACCCCGGUAGUCC